UGGGGAAUUUUGGACAAUGGGGGAAACCCUGAUCCAGCCAUCCCGCGUGUGCGAUGAAGGCCUUCGGGUUGUAAAGCACUUUUGGCAGGAAAGAAACGUCAUGGGUUAAUACCCCGUGAAACUGACGGUACCUGCAGAAUAAGCACCGGCUAACUACGUGCCAGCAGCCGCGGUAAUACGUAGGGUGCAAGCGUUAAUCGGAAUUACUGGGCGUAAAGCGUGCGCAGGCGGUUCGGAAAGAAAGAUGUGAAAUCCCAGAGCUCAACUUUGGAACUGCAUUUUUAACUACCGGGCUAGAGUUUGUCAGAGGGAGGUGGAAUUCCGCUUGUAGCAGUGAAAUGCGUAUAUAUUCGGAGGAACACCGAUGGCGAAGGCAGCCUCCUGGGAUAACACUGACGCUCAUGCACGAAAGCGUGGGGAGCAAACAGG
rnacentral:rRNA from 1 species